GUGAUAGUUUGGUAGAAGAGAUAUUUGGGAUCAGAGGAUUUCUUCAGUGGUACCCUUCACAUCCAAAGAAUUUCAAACACUUCAAACUGCCAAGGAGAUUCAGGACAUAAAAAAAAGGAAGAAGAAUCAUUACACAGUCAUCUGAUAUAACAACCACAUGAAGAAAUGAUGAUU
rnacentral:lncRNA from 1 species